ACUGUGAGCCAAACAGAAGCGGUAUGGUGUGCACUGCAGCCGUCUUUUUGCUGGGGCUCCUCUGGGCACUGCUGUGGUUGCUUUACGACAAAAAGAGCAACAAGAGGACAAGUCGUCUCCCUCCAGGACCUCUGCUGGGAAACCUGCCUCAAAUGGACAAACAUGCCCCCUUUAAAAGCCUCCUCAAGCUGAGUGAAACAUACACACGGUGAUGACCGUGCACCUUGGCUGGCAGCGCGCGGUGGUCUUGGUGGGCUAUGAGGCCAUCAAAGAGGCUCUGGUGGACCAGGCUUGACGACUUCACAGGAAGAAUGCAGCUACCAUUCCUCCACAAAGCCACCAGGGGCUAUGCAGUGCUUCUUAGCCCCAUGAAACUGUUGCAGAUAGAACGGGAUGCGAAGCUGCGGCAGGCACACUUGGACUGAGCCUCCUGGCACCUUUCGCUGGCUCACAAUGAACUGCCGUAUCAUCCUUUGCUCACAAUGUGUUUGAGAGUGAAUAAAGUGCAUUUUCAAACAAUGGUUGUGUGUGCCAAGCAAUAAAGCACAUCACACUAAAUGUGUUCCAUAAGUGCCAAAACCCUAAACCUAACCCUAACCCUAUGUCGCCCAAAAAUUCUAUCAGAACCAGAAUGUGGCAACAUAGAUAUAAUAUUAAAAACAAAAAAGCAAUGGAUAAGCCAUUGGUUCGCCAUUUUGGAGGACAUGGGUUAAGGGAAAUCCGAGUUGCGGGAUUGCAAAGUAAUUUGGGAUGGGAAGACAGGGAUAGAAAAAGGGCAGAAAGGAAUUGGAUUCAGAAUCUGGGGACUAAAAUGCCGGGGGGACUAAACAAAGCUUAAAAGGAAGAAAGGGUGGGAAGGAAGGUGGAUGAACGGGAGGAGGAAUGUGGGCCCUAGCCCCAACCCCUAGCCCUAUCCCUAACCCUAACCCUAACCCUAUCCCUAACCCUAACCCUAACCCUAACCCUAGCCCUAGCCCUACCCCCAACCCUAACCCUACCCCCAACCCUAACCCUAACCCCAAUCCUAACCCUAACCUUAACCCCAAUAAAUAAAUAAACAUAUAAAUAUAUAAAUUAAUUAAUUAAUAUCUAAAAACAUAUAAAUAUAUAAAUACAUGAAGGGGUAUACAACAAUACAUAAGGUUCGAUUCAACGUCUCUAAGUGCAGCAGAACUUACGAUGUCAGCCUAUCAUCCAUCCCCGUUACUUGAUUGACAUACAGGACAACCAAUCAUAUGACAACUGAAUUUUGACCUUUAGGUCACCGCUCAUGCGUAAAC